rnacentral:rRNA from 1 species
UACGUAGGGGGCAAGCGUUGUCCGGAAUUAUUGGGCGUAAAGAGCGUGUAGGCGGCCAGAUAAGUCCGCUGUGAAAUCUCGAGGCUCAACUUCGAGCUGUCGGUGGAAACUAUCUGGCUAGAGUCCGGAAGAGGAGAAUGGAAUUCCAGGUGUAGCGGUGAAAUGCGUAGAUAUCUGGAGGAACACCGGUGGCGAAGGCGGCAUCCUGGACCGAUACUGACGCUGAGGAGCGAAAGCCAGGGGAGCAAACGGG